AACAAAUGUUUUCAAAAAUAUUUAUGCAUGUACAUGUGGUAUAUGUACCUCAAUUAAUUAAAAUCAUGUGUACAACUAAAAAUAUUUCUUUUAAACAUUGUAUAACUAAUUAGAACAAAAAAAUAAAAAAGUACAACUUGCCAAAACGAGUACAACUUGUAACUUUGGUACAACUAGUGCAUUUUGGCGGCUACACAUGUGUUUUUUGGCGGCUACACGUGUCUAAUGUGGAUCACGUGUUUGUUGUUUGGUCCUUUUAUUUUAUUUUUUUAUUUUUAUUGAAAUUGAAAGAGGGAAUCGGGAAUCGGGUAUAGCUAUGGUUUACUGUGCUUUUACUCUCUUCACUUCUUCUCCUUCUUUCUUUCUGGGUUGGUGCGAUUUCGUCUUUUAUUUUGGGUUUGCUAUUUAUGAGAAUGAGCUGCGAAUCAGGAGCAUCGGGAAUCUUAUGUGGGAUUUCUGUGGUUCUUUUCUUGUGAUAGGGCUGGGAAUAUCGUACAAUAAUCUAGUUAUACCAAGUUGAUCUUUUCCAUGCAGUUGUACUUAGUUUACCUAUCUCUUGAAACUUAAUAAACAACAUUAAGCUAAUCCAGAAUAGUUCAAAGACACACCAAUCCAAAAAAAAACACAACAAACCACAAACAUAUCUAAAGAGUUCACAUAUAAUAUGAUUCAAAAACACAACAUAAAAUAAAUCAAUUUCUUAGUGAAAAUAAACUAGCUAUGCCGAGGUCGCACAAGUUGUACUAUUCUAUCCAAGUUGUACAUAUCGUUGAAUCCCCAGAAUUUG
rnacentral:lncRNA from 1 species